rnacentral:siRNA from 1 species
AUGAGGUUGCAGCUGAAUGAG